rnacentral:sRNA from 3 species
CGAGUUGGUGGCUAGGGUUCCGGUGCGGUUGCGCAUGCUGGUCCGAGAGCUGCCACCGGCAGGGGAGACAUCCUUGUCGGAUGCACGGCGGGAUAAAAGCCCGGGAGAC